rnacentral:rRNA from 1 species
UACGUAGGGUGCGAGCGUUGUCCGGAAUUAUUGGGCGUAAAGGGCUCGUAGGCGGUUUGUCGCGUCGGGAGUGAAAUCCACUGGCUUAACUGGUGGCUUGCUUUCGAUACGGGCAGACUGGAGGUAUGCAGGGGAGAACGGAAGUUCCUGGUGAGCGGUGAAAUGCGCAGAUAUCAGGAGGAACACCGGUGGCGAAGGCGGUUCUCUGGGCAUGUCCUGACGCUGAGGAGCGAAAGUGUGGGGAGCGAACAGG